rnacentral:rRNA from 1 species
GAGUUUGAUCCUGGCUCAGAUUGAACGCUAGCGGCAUGCUUUACACAUGCAAGUCGAACGGCAGCGCGGGGGCAACCCUGGCGGCGAGUGGCGAACGGGUGAGUAAUACAUCGGAACGUACCCUGUGAUGGGGGAUAACUGCGCGAAAGCGUGGCUAAUACCGCAUACGACCUAUGGGUGAAAGUGGGGGACCGCAAGGCCUCACGUCGCAGGAGCGGCCGAUGGCGGAUUAGCUAGUUGGUGGGGUAAAGGCUUACCAAGGCGACGAUCCGUAGCUGGUCUGAGAGGACGACCAGCCACACUGGGACUGAGACACGGCCCAGACUCCUACGGGAGGCAGCAGUGGGGAAUCUUGGACAAUGGGGGCAACCCUGAUCCAGCAAUGCCGCGUGUGGGAAGAAGGCCUUCGGGUUGUAAACCACUUUUGGCAGGGAAGAAAUGUCGAAUAUUAAUACCAUUCGGCGAUGACGGUACCUGCAGAAUAAGCACCGGCUAACUAC